UUAGCUAGUUGGUGGGGUAAAGGCCUACCAAGGCGACGAUCUGUAGCGGGUCUGAGAGGAUGAUCCGCCACACUGGGACUGAGACACGGCCCAGACUCCUACGGGAGGCAGCAGUGGGGAAUAUUGGACAAUGGGCGCAAGCCUGAUCCAGCCAUGCCGCGUGUGUGAAGAAGGCCUUAUGGUUGUAAAGCACUUUAAGCGAGGAGGAGGCUACUUUAGAUAAUACCUAGAGAUAGUGGACGUUACUCGCAGAAUAAGCACCGGCUAACUCUGUGCCAGCAGCCGCGGUAAUACAGAGGGUGCAAGCGUUAAUCGGAUUUACUGGGCGUAAAGCGCGCGUAGGCGGCUAAUUAAGUCAAAUGUGAAAUCCCCGAGCUUAACUUGGGAAUUGCAUUCGAUACUGGUUAGCUAGAGUGUGGGAGAGGAUGGUAGAAUUCCAGGUGUAGCGGUGAAAUGCGUAGAGAUCUGGAGGAAUACCGAUGGCGAAGGCAGCCAUCUGGCCUAACACUGACGCUGAGGUGCGAAAGCAUGGGGAGCAAACAGGAUUAGAUACCCUGGUAGUCCAUGCCGUAAACGAUGUCUACUAGCCGUUGGGGCCUUUGAGGCUUUAGU
rnacentral:rRNA from 1 species